AUUGAACGCUGGCGGCAUGCCUUACACAUGCAAGUCGAACGGUAACGCGGGGCAACCUGGCGACGAGUGGCGAACGGGUGAGUAAUGCAUCGGAACGUGCCCAGUAGUGGGGGAUAGCCCGGCGAAAGCCGGAUUAAUACCGCAUACGACCUACGGGCGAAAGGGGGGGAUCGCAAGACCUCUCGCUAGUGGAGCGGCCGGUGUCAGAUUAGGUAGUUGGUGGGGUAAAGGCCCACCAAGCCGACGAUCUGUAGCUGGUCUGAGAGGACGACCAGCCACACUGGGACUGAGACACGGCCCAGACUCCUACGGGAGGCAGCAGUGGGGAAUUUUGGACAAUGGGCGCAAGCCUGAUCCAGCCAUGCCGCGUGCGGGAAGAAGGCCUUCGGGUUGCAAACCGCUUUUGUCAGGGAAGAAAUCUUUUGAGUUAAUACCUCGGAAGGAUGACGGUACCUGAAGAAUAAGCACCGGCUAACUACGUGCCAGCAGCCGCGGUAA
rnacentral:rRNA from 1 species